GCUGGAAGAGAGAAGGUGAGUUGUGUUUAGUCUCUUUGCUAAAGAAAUGAGUCAAAGCUAAAAAGAUGUUUGGUGUCUAGUACUAUGUCUGUGACCCUAUAUGUCCUGUUGAUGAAGUUAGGUGCUGUUCUGAGCAUUAUUUGUGGCUGUAGAGUGGCGUUUUGGUUGAGCGCGUGGCUCUCUGUAUUGCUAUCCUGUGGUCGUUACUAAAGUUGGUAUAACUAGAGAAGCAAG